rnacentral:rRNA from 1 species
UACGUAGGGCGCAAGCGUUGUCCGGAAUUAUUGGGCGUAAAGAGCUCGUAGGCGGUUUGUCGCGUCUGCUGUGAAAACCUAAGGCUCAACCUUGGGCUUGCAGUGGGUACGGGCAGACUAGAGUGCGGUAGGGGUGACUGGAAUUCCUGGUGUAGCGGUGAAAUGCGCAGAUAUCAGGAGGAACACCGGUGGCGAAGGCGGGUCUCUGGGCCGAUACUGACGCUGAGGUGCGAAAGCGUGGGGAGCAAACAGG